UGCAGGACUUACCGGAGAUGUGCUCAUGGAGCUGCCAUAUGCGCUUUCAUGCAUGGUUUUUAUCCAUUAAGGGGUCAAGAAGCUUAUCAAGGAGAAAAAGAAUGAUGCUGGAAUUUCUGAAUAUAUCGAUAUAAAUAAAGAGCUUCAAGAGUUCUAUAUGCAUCAGGUAGCACUAGGGUCCAGAUUCAGAAUAUGAGUACUGCGUGAAGAUGGUCAACAUUAGACUGCAAUCUAAAUUGUUUACUGUGAACUAGAACUUCUGCAUACACAUAUGUGGAUUUGUACAUGUACAAAAUCUGCAAUGCCUCAGAUUUUAUGUGCCCUCGGCAACUGGCGGAAUCCAAGGUGGCCUGAUAGAAAAGGGGCUUCCCUCGCUCAUCUUGUAGGCUACAGCUACAAAUCAGAUAAUAAAACUCUAUUAGAAAAUGCUAGAUGCUGAAGGUAGGGAGAAAGAGAAUCUUGAAGAAGAAAUAGGUGUUUUGAGAAGUCAGUUAUUGCAUAUGAGUAUGGAAGUCGAUGAGACAAGAAGUCUUGAUAAAGGAGAUGGGCCCAAAAAAAUUUCCUGGUUUAGAUUAAUUGGUGUCUUAGACUCGAGGUUCGCAACCCAGAGAGCAGAGCAAUGGACUGAAACAACCAAUUGCCAAAUUCUUUGAACAAGAUGUGCGCACAUGGGGAAUGUGGGUUGAGAAUUGAGAUCACCAGUUACUUGUGCCUUUGGGGUAUUAGAUCAUGGUGGGUGUUAUGUCUUGGUCAUUUUUAUCAUCUUAAUUGCAGUUAGAUUGGUAAAUUUUGCUCACGUCUUAACAUUUGACCUUUUAUUUUAGAGUUAACAUCAGUGGUCUGAGCUUGCCUUGUAGAAGUUAUUCACAAGUCAUCAAGUUACAUUAGUUCAGGCUUAGAAGAUGUACUGCUUGACUUGUAUUCGACCUAUUGCAGUUCUCAUCGAUAGACCCUUCCAUCUGUCAUGCAAACAUCCACAAAUAUGCUUACAAUGGCAUCUAGAGCGUAGAGUGCAGUGAGACGACUACAUGGCUGAAUCCUUUUACCAAUUGUUCAGGAUAAAAAAAACAAAGAACCUAUAACAGUCAAUGUAAAGACUUCAUCUCACCUCAAUAUCGAUCUCUCUAUUGUCUUUAUUGUUUUCAUUCCUAUGUUACCAAUGCCUUAUUAUCCUGGAAAAACACGAGGAGAUUUCAGCGAGCUGCUGAAAACGCGGAACUGUUCUGUUUUUUUUGUGUGUAAAAUUCAAGUCCCAAUGGACGAUCCUGUAGUAGACCUCCAUAAUUUUCAUGUAAACAUGUAGGCUAUUGCUUCUCAGUUGUCCAGCCAAGAUGAGAAAAAAGGCUAAUAAACAAAUAGUCACAGCUUGAAGAGGGCAAGAAGAUGAUACAUGUUUGGGAUGGGGAAAAAUGUGUUCUGCAAACUCCAAUUUACCCGACAAUGAAUUAGUGUGGAAUAAUUGUGUGCGUGAUGCCAGCUGCCAGCCUACACAACGCACACAGGUUAAUUGCAAUGCUCAGAUCUGAUCAUGUUCAGACUUGAAGUUUUUUUAUGUCCCUAUAAUGCUUAUCCUGAGCACUUGUCAUUUCUGUUUAUGUUUUCUAAACUCAAUGCUGCAAAAAUCUUGGAAAUAUGAGACAUAUUACAAGGUCCAAGAGGCAAAGAUAGGAUUCAGUGUUGCUUCAAAAAAGUAAAGAUCUUGCUCUAGAUUUAUAUGUCCUGGUUUUACAAAUCCAAGAUUCAACAAAGAUCAUAAAAUGUUGGUCUAGCAGGUUUAAGGAGUAAUCUAUGUUCUGUUCUUUCCGCCGGUACCUCUUAAUCUUGUAGUAAAACGAGAUUAUUCGUACUAUUCACCGAGAAAUAUAUUGACAAUUCGUGAUGAAUAUGGAGGAUUUGUAGUACAUUGUAUUUUCUCACAUACAUAUUUUAU